rnacentral:rRNA from 1 species
UACGUAGGUGACAAGCGUUGUCCGGAUUUACUGGGCGUAAAGAGCGCGCAGGCGGUCGUUCAAGUCGAGUGUGAAAGCCCCCGGCUCAACUGGGGAGGGUCACUCGAUACUGAUCGACUCGAAGGCAGGAGAGGGUAGUGGAAUUCCCGGUGUAGUGGUGAAAUGCGUAGAUAUCGGGAGGAACACCAGUGGCGAAGGCGACUACCUGGCCUGUUCUUGACGCUGAGGCGCGAAAGCUAGGGGAGCGAAUGGG